ensembl:lncRNA
GGAGGGUCCCUCGGGCUGGGAGGAGGCAGACUGGGGGCCAUGGAGACCCACAGGGCCAGCCUCUCCCCUGGUCACUGGGGCUCCUGCUGCUGGGACUAGUGCUGCCUCGGCCAGCGCCCAGGCCCUCAGCUACAGGGAGGCCGUGCUUCGUGCUGUCAAUCAGCUCAGUGAGCGGUCCUCAGAAGCUAAUCUCUACCGCCUCCUGGAGCCAUCUGCCCCAGCCUUGGCCACAUUGUCACUCCCUUCGCUCAGGCUGGUCCUCCUGUCAGGAAGGCACUUUCUCUCUAGGCGGAGGACCGGGGAGCUCGAAAGCCUGUGAGCUUCAUGGUGAAGGAGACUGUGUGCCCCAGGCCGAGCCUGCAGCCCUCGGAGCAGUGUGACUUCAAGGAGAAUGGGGCGGUGAAAGAAUAUGGGUUGACAGUCACCGGGGACCACUGGGACGAUGUAUUCGCAUAAGCCGUUAUGAGCUUAAGAGUUUCAGGAAAUUUGGCUCAUCGCCGUUCAAUCCCACGAGAGCCCUGGCAGUGGUUCCCUCCACCCACCUCCGUGCUCCAUGGUUGGCUCCAGAAACACUACCUCCAUCUCCAUUCCCCAGGCCACAGUUGAACGAUAUGAAGAUG